UCUAGAUCUCUCAAACUCAUAGAAUUACUUCCAAAUGUGGACACAUCCAUCCCAAGAUUGAUGCUAGAUCACCUGUUCAGGAAAGGAAACACAGAGAAGCAAAAAAGGAAGCCAGGUUUUCAGUUCUAGAUUUAAAAUUAGAAGAAGAAAAAAGAAGAGGAAGAGGAGGAGAAGUGUGAAAGAGAGAGAGAGAAAGAAAGAAUAUGUGUUCUUUCAUGAGAAUUACAUGAAAAUGAGAAAAUUUCCAGCUGUGAACUAGAAUCUGGCAAACACUCUACCUGUGGUUUUGGGAUGCUGGCUGACAGAGAUCAGGAGCAAUGCUCACAGGUUAUACAUAUUUUCCAUAUGAGUCACGUUAAAAGAGAAAAAUCAGAACAAAAAAGGAAAAAGAUGAGAAAAAACUCAGAAGAAAAAAGAAAGAGAAGAUAGUAUUUGAUCUUUAUUCAGCCUCCAGAAGGCCUCCAGAAGGAGGCUGUGGAUGUGGAUGGCAUUUUCCAUCCAAAGUUUAUUGGAAUUGCCUUGGAUCACUUACUGAGAAGAACAAGUCUAUCAUAGUUGACCAUCACACAAUCUUAUGUAGUUUAUACAAUGUUUUCCUGGUUCUAUCUGCUUCACUCAGCAUCAGUUUAUGUAAAACUUUUCAGACUUUUCUAAAAUUA